GAGGAUUGAGAAAUAUUUUAAAGAAGAUUUUUGUGAAGAGAGAAUAGGAAGAAGAGAAGAGAGAAGGCUUAUUUAUAAUGGUGGCUCAAGCAGUCAAAGCUUAUCCAGUGUACGUAUUCUUGUAUUCUUGUGUUUCUAUUUUUUUUUAUUUGGUUUAUUAUAUUUGUAUAAAAUUCAAUAUGGUAAAUAAAAUUUAUAUAUUCCUAUAUUUAUAUCAAAUUUACAUUAUUUUAUGGUGUCAUAUUUUUUUCUGGGUUCUAAAAUACAGGGUGUAGAUAAGGCUGCUUGAAAAUUGGGUAAGCAAAUAGAAUGGGAACAAAUAUUUGGAAUUAAAGAUUAAAAUAAAUAAAACAAAACAUACUUUUUGACUAAAAGAUGAAAUUCUGACUCCUCCCUUAUGUGGCCAUCACAGCACAUUGGUAAUGACUCAAUUGGAUAAAUAAUAAUAACAAUAAUAAUAAUAUUCCCCCACGAGCAGAGUGAGUUGCAGGAAGAGAAGGUUGGUUGCCUCCUGACUGAAGAGAAAAAAAUUAGUGAUGAAGAUGCGAUGGGUGUGAAUUCACUUGAUUUUCAUUUACAGUCAAAAUCAUGGCACUUGGUGUUCUUUAUUUUCAGAUUGGGUGCUGUCUGUUUUAACCAUACUGCUGCUUGUCUGCUUCUUUUCUGUGUUUAAGCUUUUUUAUUUGCGCUACUUGGAUC
rnacentral:lncRNA from 1 species